rnacentral:rRNA from 1 species
CCUACGGGGGGCUGCAGUGGGGGAUAUUGCACAAUGGGGGAAACCCUGAUGCAGCGACGCCGCGUGGGUGAAGAAGUAUUUCGGUAUGUAAAGCCCUAUCAGCAGGGAAGAAAGAAGACGGUACCUGACUAAGAAGCCCCGGCUAACUACGUGCCAGCAGCCGCGGUAAUACGUAGGGGGCGAGCGUUAUCCGGAUUCACUGGGUGUAAAGGGAGCGUAGACGGCCGUGCAAGCCAGGAGUGAAAGCCCGGGGCCCAACCCCGGGACUGCUCUUGGAACUGUGCGGCUGGAGUGCGGGAGGGGCAGGCGGAAUUCCUGGUGUAGCGGUGAAAUGCGUAGAUAUCAGGAGGAACACCGGCGGCGAAGGCGGCCUGCUGGACCGCGACUGACGUUGAGGCUCGAAAGCGUGGGGAGCGAACAGGAUUAGAUACCCGGGUAGUC